CAUUUAAUUCUCAAACCACUCACAUGCAUAAUGUUCUUUUACACAGUGUUAAAAUAAAGAGGAAAAUGUAUUUUUAUACAAACAGAAUUUCAAGUAUACAUUAAUAGACUUUUCAAAUUACUAACCAAGUUGCUAAAUUUCAUUCACAUUGUUCUUAAAGCUGUUCAACGAGAAAGCUUUUGCUAAACUGCUUUAAAUAUGUUUAUAUAAACCCAUAUAUCUUCACUCUUUCUCUGAAUCUCCCUCCCCCAGCCCGUCUCUGCCCACCCUCCUACCCUCCCCGCUUCCCCGACACAACAGGGCUCCUGGGGCUCUAGGAGACAUGCAACCCCACCAAGAACUAUUGGCUUGUCAUCAGGGGAAGGACAGAAUCUACAGGAGGAGAGACUUGAGAACACCUGUCAAAUUAAGGGAGAGAACGAAUCAGAUACUUCACAAAUCAGGAUCGUAUUUUAUAGCCUGUGUGAUUCACUUGGCCUUUUCAUUUAAAAAAGGAGUCUCAGCCUCCCACAAAAUCACCCUCAAGUUUCUGAUAAUUUGGUAGCUGAGAAAAUAUUGGGUAUAUUCCCUAGUGAAACAUCUCAAAUUAAGACACAGAGCGUAAGUGGGUCCCACCUGAAAUUAUGAGAAGCCAGGAAAUCUAAGUGGCUUGCAGGAUCCUAUUAGUUCCUCAACCAGGGAUUGAACCCCGGCCCUCAGCGGUGAAAGCACGAAGUUCUAACCCCUGGACGGCCAGGGAAUUCCCUGUGUUCUUUCAACGUACUUCUCCCUUUACUCACUUGUGCUGACAAGCUAAAGAUUGAGAGUUCUGGUGUUAAGAUUUCUUAAAGGAGAAGCCAAUGGUUCCUGACUUAUGUGGCAGAUCUACUUAAGUUCUGCCAUUAUAUUGCAAAACAAUGCAAUAGGCUACAACAGUGAACACAGACCAUAAAGGAUGAAAAGUUAACGUACUGAGACUUUUUUUUUUUGCCUAUAGUUUGGGUAUGUUUUUCUUUUGUUGUGAGUAAGGGAAUGGGGCAGGGUGGUGAAACUGCAGUCAGACUAGUUUCUGUUUAGCUCUUUCAGAAAGGAUUACUUAGAGGUUUAAGAGGAAUCACAAGCCAAUCAGUAGGACAGAAGAAUAUGGCUGGUUAGUCCUGACAGAGAAUUCCUGAUAGGGAAUUUGUUUCAUUACUUGUGUAAAAUAUAGUACAAGUUCAUAUAUAUAUACUUUACCAUUAAUUACUUCCCCUUCUCCUCCUCUACUUCCUUCCCCUAAAUCUUUAAAAUCCAGUGCGAUGUGAUC
ensembl:lncRNA